CAGCUACUCACCUCCCCUCCCCUCCCCCCCUGAUCUGUAUUCUAAGGACUCAGGUCUGCACAGGAGAAGGACCUCACAGAGAAGAUAAGUGUUAUCUGAAGGGGAGGAUGAGAAGCUCUGGAGGAGGCGUGGCCAGCUAAUUAAGGAUCCUUAAGUACAGCUGCUUUAGUGCAGUUCAAGCUCCAUGCAUAUGAGUGAGGACAGCUGUGCAGCAGACUUUUGGAGGGAAACUGUGACCAUAUUACCAGAUGUCUGCCCCAACCGGGAGGAGCUGCUAUUGGAAAGUUAAGUAUCUAUAUUUAUCACUUAUGCCAUGGCAUUGUUGUAUAACACUCUAUCUUUAUUCUUCAUCCAGAAGGUGUUCAUUAUCUACCUUGUCUGUUUUUUUUCCUUAGUGUUAUUGUGAUAACCAUUAUGGUCAGCCCCAUCUCUAGUACAGGCAGGUUAGAUAGUAGCUACCUAUGCAUGACUUGUUGCAUUGCUAACUUGGGGGAGUUAUCAAUGUGGCACCAUGUGUAGAUAGCCAUCAUAACUAGUUAACCCUCAGUUAUUUCUGUUAUUGUAAUGUUCUACUGAUGCUGAAUAGUAUAGUAGUCAGGGCCUCCUAAAUGAAGGUAGGAAUGCAUUAGGAAAGUCCUAGCUGUAAGUAUGGCUGAUAAAUCAACUGAGGAUUUGCAGCCACUAUCAUUGUUGUUUUUAACAUACUGCUUUUUUAUCUUUUGUGUGUGUUCGGCUCUUCAUUGUUUUUCAAGUUGCUUCAUUUUCUAACGGCUUUUGUCUUUCUCACAAGUAUCUAGGUAGGUUUUUUUUUUUAGAAUUCUUUUCCUAUAGAGCAAGAAUAUUUGACGCGGUCUGCUAGCCCUGGACACUAAUACCCAAGAAAGAGUGAGACAACCAUCUGCCCAGACUGGAAGGAGCUACGAUGAGACGGUAAGGCCUAUGCGAGUGACUUGAUCUAAUAGUGUCUGUCUUCGUGCUUCUUCCAGAAGCUGUUCUAUUGUGUAAGACAACCCUCACCUGGGAGGAGCUGCUGUCAGACCAAUAAGUUACUAACUUUGACCUGACUUUGACCUAUGUCAUAUUCUUGUUCUAGAAGUAUCUAUCAGUUUGCGUUCUCCAGGUGUUCCUUAUCUUCCCUGGCUGGAAUUGUGGACCUACGCGUAAGUAAAUAGAAUCAUGUCUGUUCUUGUCAAAUGUGUUAUAUUUAGGGGGUAAUUUGUUUAAUGACUUUCUGUCUCUUGCCUUUGCCAGUCGCCGCCUACCGUGGCAGUCUUUGCCAAAUUUGGCAAUUUACCAUAUAAUUCUAUGGUGAAUGUCAGCCCCAUUCCUUGUACCAGCAGGUUUGGUAGCUACCUAUGCAUGACUUGUUGCAUUUCUAACUUGGGGGAGUUAUCAAUGUGGCACCAUGUGUAGAUAGCCAUAAUAACUAGUCAACCCUAAAGAAUCAGUUAGUGAAACUGUAGAUUAGUCACCUAUUGUAAUAAAUCUUUGCAAAAUGGCAAUUUACCAUAUAAUUCUAUGGUGAAUGUCAGCCCCAUUCCUAGUACCAGCAGGUUAGAUAGUAGCUACCUAUGCAUGACUUGUUGCAUUGCUAACUUGGGGGAGUUAUCAAUGUGGCACCAUGUGUAGAUAGCCAUAAUAACUAGUUAACCCUCAGUUAUUUCUUUUAUUUUCAUAUACUACUCGGCAUCAGUAGAAUAGUCAGUGCCUACUAAAUGAAGGUAGGAAUGCAUUAGGAAAGUCCUAGCUGUAAGUAUGGCUGAUAAAUCGACUGAGGGUUUGCAGCCACUAUAUUGUUGUUUUUUAUCUUUUGUUUGUUAGGCUCUUCAUUGUUGCUUCAUUUUCUAACAGCUUUUGUCUUUUUCUCACAAGUAUCUAGGUAGUGUUAGUUUUUUUUAGAAUUCUUUUCCUGUAGAGCAAAAAUAUUUGAUGCUGCCUGCUAGCCCUGGACACUAAUACCCAAGAAAGAGUGAGACUACAAUCUUCCCAGAAUGGAAGGAGCUGUGUUAAAACGGUAAGGUCUUUCCUAUAUGGUUUAUGCCAUAGGCUUGUUCUAAUAGCCUGUGUCUUUGUACUUAAUUUAUUCACUCAUUUAUCUAAAUCCAUUUUGCACCGUGCUAUAUAGCCUUAAAGGAGCCCUGUAGUGUUAGACCCUUAUCCCCUAUCCACAGGAUAGGGCAUAAGUGUCUGUGGGGGGCUCCGACCACUGGGACCCCCAUGUGAUGUCCUGUACGGGGACCUGGCAUUGCUGCGGCUCUGCGUGGCUCAUGCACGUGUUGUCGACCUCACUGAGGUAGACACGCCCCCUCCAUACUGCAUCUCCGCCUCUCACAUAGAGAUACAUGGAGGGGGCGUGUAAGCUGUG